CAGUAGCCGCGGGAAUACGAGGGGGGCAAGCGUUGUUCGGAAUUAUUGGGCGUAAAGGGUGCGUAGGCGGCCCCGCAAGUCUCAUGUGAAAUCUUCAGGCUCAACUUGAAGUCUGCAUGGGAAACUGCGGGGCUGGAGUAUGGGAGAGGUGAGUGGAAUUCCUGGUGUAGCGGUGAAAUGCGUAGAUAUCAGGAGGAACACCUGUGGCGAAAGCGGCUCACUGGACAAUAACUGACGCUGAUGCACGAAAGCUAGGGGAGCAAACAGGAUUAGAUACCCGCGUAGUCCCUGUCUCUUAUAC
rnacentral:rRNA from 1 species